AUGAACGCUAGCGACAGGCCUAACACAUGCAAGUCGAGGGGCAGCACAGGUAGCAAUACUGGGUGGCGACCGGCGGAUGGGUGCGUAACGCGUAUGCAACCUACCAUUGAUUGGGGCAUAGCCCGAAGAAAUUCGGAUUAAUACUCCAUAAUAUUCAUCAAAGGCAUCUUUUAUGAAUUAAAGCUUUUGCGAUCAAUGAUGGGCAUGCGUGACAUUAGUUAGUUGGUGAGGUAACGGCUCACCAAAACGAUGAUGUCUAGGGGUUCUGAGAGGAUUAUCCCCCACACUGGUACUGAGACACGGACCAGACUCCUACGGGAGGCAGCAGUGAGGAAUAUUGGUCAAUGGACGCAAGUCUGAACCAGCCAUGCCGCGUGCAGGAUGACGGCCCUAUGGGUUGUAAACUGCUUUUCCACGGGAAGAACCCUCCGACGUGUCGGAGACUGACGGUACCGUGGGAAUAAGCAUCGGCUAACUCCGUG
rnacentral:rRNA from 1 species